CACGCUACGGGAGGCAGCAGUGGGGAAUAUUGGGCAAUGGGCGCAAGCCUGACCCAGCAACGCCGCGUGAAGGAAGAAGGCUUUCGGGUUGUAAACUUCUUUUGUCAGGGAAGAGUAGAAGACGGUACCUGACGAAUAAGCCACGGCUAACUACGUGCCAGCAGCCGCGGUAAUACGUAGGUGGCAAGCGUUGUCCGGAUUUACUGGGUGUAAAGGGCGCGUAGGCGGACUGUCAAGUCAGUCGUGAAAUACCGAAGCUUAACUUCGGGGCUGCGAUUGAAACUGACAGCCUUGAGUAUCGGAGA
rnacentral:rRNA from 1 species